rnacentral:rRNA from 1 species
AGAGUUUGAUCCUGGCUCAGGAUGAACGUUGGCGGCGUGCCUAAUACAUGCAAGUCGAACGUGAGCUCUGGUUUCGACCGGGGUGAAAGUGGCGAACGGGUGAGGAACACAUGGCCGACCUGCCCCUCAGAGGGGGAUAACCACUGAAAACGGUGGCUAAUACCCCAUACGCUCACACUGGUUAGAGGCGGUGUGAGGAAAGCAUUGUGCUGAGGGAGGGGGCUGUGGCCCAUCAGCUAGUUGGUAGGGUAACGGCCUACCAAGGCGAUGACGGGUAGGGGGCCUGAGAGGGUGACCCCCCACACGGGCACUGAGACACGGGCCCGACUCCUACGGGAGGCAGCAGUAAGGGAUAUUGCGACAAUGGGCGAAAGCCUGACGCAGCAACGCCGCGUGCGGGAUGACGGCCUUCGGGUUGUAAACCGCUUUUCUGGGGGAAGAGGAAGGACGGUACCCCAGGAAUAAGUCUCGGCUAACUACGUGCCAGCAGCCGCGGUAAAACGUAGGAGGCAAGCGUUAUCCGGAUUUACUGGGCGUAAAGCGCGUGCAGGCGGUUUGGUAAGUUGGAUGUGAAAGCUCCUGGCUCAACUGGGAGAGGUCGUUCAAUACUACCAGACUAGAGAGCGGUAGAGGGAGGUGGAAUUCCCGGUGUAGUGGUGAAAUGCGUAGAUAUCGGGAGGAACACCAGUGGCGAAAGCGGCCUCCUGGACCGUUUCUGACGCUCAGACGCGAAAGCUAGGGUAGCAAACGGGAUUAGAGACCCCGGUAGUCCUAGCUGUAAACGAUGUGAACUUGGCGUCGGUGGUGUAAAAACCAUCGGUGCCGAAGCUAACGCGAUAAGUUCACCGCCUGGGGACUACGGCCGCAAGGUUAAAACUCAAAGGAAUUGACGG